UCUGUAGGAAGGUAAAAUAAAGGGAGAUUUCUGCUCUCACCUCUUCUUUCAGUAAGCAGAAAAAAACUUUAGCAGAGCAGCUAUUCUCUGCUCCUCCUUGAAGAAGAGAAGCUUUCUUAUUAAGCUUGUCCACACAACAGUAAAGCCUGAAUUUGACAUCUUCUUCUUAGGCUGCCAACAUCAAAGAGCAAAAGAGCACAGGUUUUGACUAUACAGGGCUGAAAACAAAGACAUCCAAACCUUGAGCUAAACAGAAGAGGAAGAAGCCAAAAUCUUUGCCAGAGGUUUGACUGCUGGGUUUACUCAUGGCUUCAGCUGUCACCUUCAGAAAUAUGAGACCUCUCAGAUCAGGCCAUUAAUCCUGCUUCUCCCAGUGGAGUGUGACUCGUCUGGUGGGACAGGUUUGAUUGCAACUGGUUCUUCAGGCUGUCAUGACUGUGAAAGCAGACUUCAGCUGCACAUGCAGAUACCUCGGAUCCUGCUACUGCCUAAACCUAUUGAUCUGUUAUUGAGCUCGGCACCAACCGCUGGUUUAGCUCUAAAGAAGUUCAGCCUCUGCAGGCAGCUGGGAAGCAAGGCGGACUCAGAAAAGAAGUGGAUGCUCCAUCUCAUCAUAGAAUAACAGAAUAUUCCAAGUUGAAAGGGACCCAUAAGUAUCUAUCAUCAAGUCCAACUCCAGGCAUCACACAGCACCGCCCAAAAAUAAUGACCUAGCCUAUUCAAAGGAGAGAAUUCCUGCAGGAGAAAAACAAGCCAAAACAAACAAAAAAUCCCAACAAACUCACACCUGGAAAAUGCUGCUCCAUAUAGCCCCAACUGUCUUGUCCUGCUUCUAAGAGGUGUCAUGUGGCUGUUACAGAGACGUGCCCGAAAAUGGUGUUAUUAAGAGGACCAGGUGUUUGUUCAGGAGGCUGUGGGAUGCAGCCAUUCCUUGGGCACUACAGAUAUAUUUACAGCAUUAAAAGGUCAAACAAUCCCUUCAUUCCCUGUUUGCUUCAGAGAGUUUUGUUGAACAUUCUCAUUAUUCGUUGCGGUAUUUCUUUGGUUUAAGAGGAUUUCUCUGCACAACCAUAGUUAUUAGAAUGCAGUGUGUGUGCAGUGAAUGUGUUAUUACUAUAACAAGCUUCUCCUCAUAGUAGAUAUUUAUUCUGAGUGUGAGGCUUUUAGUUCAGUUGUGUGUGUGGCAGAGCAGGCGAGA